CCCCGCCUGGGGAGUACGGGUGAGGUAACGGCUCACCAAGGCAUCGACGGGUAGCUGGUCUGAGAGGAUGAUCAGCCACACUGGGACUGAGACACGGCCCAGACUCCUACGGGAGGCAGCAGUAGGGAAUCUUGCGCAAUGGGGGAAACCCUGACGCAGCAACGCCGCGUGUGGGAUGACGGCUUUCGGGUUGUAAGCCACUUUCAGUGAUGACGAAAAUGACGGUAAUCACAGAAGAAGGUCCGGCCAACUACGUGCCAGCAGCCGCGGUAACACGUAGGGACCGAGCGUUGUCCGGAUUUAUUGGGCGUAAAGAGCUCGUAGGCGGUUCUGUAAGUCGGAUGUGAAAACUCAGGGCUCAACCCUGAGACGCCAUCUGAUACUGCAGUGACUAGAGUCCGGUAGAGGAAGAUGGAAUUCCUGGUGUAGCGGUGGAAUGCGCAGAUAUUAGGAGGAACACCAGUGGCGAAGGCGCCGCUCUGGGCCGUGACUGACGCUGAGGAGCGAAAGCGUGGGUAGCAAACAGGAUUAGAUACCCUGGUAGUCCACGCCGUAAACGUUGGGCACUAGGUGUGGGUCUCAACCAACGAGAUCCGCGCCGUCGCUAACGCAUUAAGUGCCCCGCCUGGGGAGUACGG
rnacentral:rRNA from 1 species